rnacentral:rRNA from 1 species
GUAGGUGGCAAGCGUUGUCCGGAAUUAUUGGGCGUAAAGCGCGCGCAGGCGGGUCCUUUAAGUCUGAUGUGAAAGCCCACGGGCUCAACCGUGGAGGGUCAUUGGAAACUGGGGGACUUGAGUACAGAAGAGGAAAGCGGAAUUCCAAGUGUAGCGGUGAAAUGCGUAGAGAUUUGGAGGAACACCAGUGGCGAAGGCGGCUUUCUGGUCUGUAACUGACGCUGAGGCGCGAAAGCGUGGGGAGCAAACAGGAUUAGAUACCCUGGUAGUCCACGCCGUAAACGAUGAGUGCUAAGUGUUAGGGGGGUUUCCGCCCCUUAGUGCUGCAGCUAACGCAUUAAGCACUCCGCCUGGGGAGUACGGCCGCAAGGCUG